UACGAAGGGGGCUAGCGUUGCUCGGAAUUACUGGGCGUAAAGGGCGUGUAGGCGGUCAGGUAAGUGGGAUGUGAAAUGCCCCGGCUCACCCGGGGACCGGCAUCCCAUACUGCUUGGCUUGAGUACGGGAGAGGAUGUGGGAAUUCCUGGUGUAGCGGUGAAAUGCGUAGAUAUCAAGUGGAACACCAGUGGCGAAGGCGAGUCUCUGGACAUUUCCUGACGCUGAGGCACGAAAGCCAGGGGAGCAAACGGG
rnacentral:rRNA from 1 species